rnacentral:rRNA from 3 species
GUUGGGUAACACUAACUGGAGGACCGAACCGACUAAUGUUGAAAAAUUAGCGGAUGACCUGUGGCUGGGGGUGAAAGGCCAAUCAAACCGGGAGAUAGCUGGUUCUCCCCGAAAGCUAUUUAGGUAGCGCCUCGUGAAUUCAUCUCCGGGGGUAGAGCACUGUUUCGGCUAGGGGGCCAUCCCGGCUUACCAACCCGAUGCAAACUGCGAAUACCGGAGAAUGUUAUCACGGGAGACACACGGCGGGUGCUAACGUCCGUCGUGAAGAGGGAAACAACCCAGACCGCCAGCUAAGGUCCCAAAGUCAUGGUUAAGUGGGAAACGAUGUGGGAAGGCCCAGACAGCCAGGAUGUUGGCUUAGAAGCAGCCAUCAUUUAAAGAAAGCGUAAUAGCUCACUGGUCGAGUCGGCCUGCGCGGAAGAUGUAACGGGGCUAAACCAU